UAAGGUGAAACCGCAAAUGGCUCAUUAAAUCAGUUAUGGUUCAUUAGAUGAUACACCACAUUACUUGGAUAACUGUGGUAAUUCUAGAGCUAAUACAUGCAAACAGAGUUCCCACCGGAGACGGUAGGAACGCUUUUAUUAGAUCAAAACCAAUACGUUCGUUCUUCGGACGCUACAAUUGGUGACUCUGAAUAACUUUUUGAUGAUCGCAUGGUCCUAGUACCGGCGACAAGUCUUUCAAAUGUCUGCCUUAUCAACUGUCGAUGGUAGGCUCUGCGCCUACCAUGGUUGUAACGGGUGACGGGGAAUCAGGGUUCGAUUCCGGAGAGGGAGCCUGAGAAACGGCUACCACAUCCAAGGAAGGCAGCAGGCGCGCAAAUUACCCACUCCCGGCACGGGGAGGUAGUGACGAAAAAUAACGAUACGGGACUCAUCCGAGGCCCCGUAAUCGGAAUGAGUACACUUUAAAUACUUUAACAAGUAUCCAUUGGAGGGCAAGUCUGGUGCCAGCAGCCGCGGUAAUUCCAGCUCCAAUAGCGUAUAUUAAAGUUGUUGCGGUUAAAAAGCUCGUAGUUGGGACUGUGUCCCGCACUGUCGGUGCGCCAUUUAUGGUGUUUACUGACAUGCUGCGGGACGUC
rnacentral:rRNA from 1 species